GGGCUCCGGGCGGCCGUGACCCUGCUGGAGUCCGGGGGGGACCUCCAGCCCCCCGGGGGGUCCCUGCGCCUCCUCUGCCGCGCCUCGGGGUUCACUUUCGGCAGUUAUGCCAUGCAAUGGAUCCGCCAGAGACCGGGCAGGGGCUGGAAUUCGUCGCGGGGAUCAGCAAUGGUGGUGGCAGCACCGUGUACGCGCCGUCGGUGAAGGGCCGGGCGACGAUCUCCAGGGACAACGGGCAGAGCUCGGUGACGCUGACCAUGAACGGCCUCAGGGACGAGGAUUCCGGCUCCUAUUUCUGUGCCAAAUAUGCCGGUGCUGGUGCUGGUGCUGCUAAUUAUAGUGGACGAUGCCGGUGCCGGCCCCUCCCCCUGA